GACUUUGGUUAUUUAAUAAAGAUCUUGACAAAUUCAAACUUGCCUGAGGUAGAACUGGACUUCUUUGAAAUUUUGCGCCUCUUUUUUCCUGUUAUAUAUGAUGUGAAAUACCUUAUGAAAAGCUGCAAAAACCUAAAGAUAUUCGGCAGCUCCUGACUUUUUAUUUAGAGGUUAUGCAUGGUAUGUUAGUUAAAUGCCAGAGGUAUUCUUGAAUCUUCCAUUUGAUACAGCUAUGCAUUUUAGCGGGGGGGAAAUAGAAGAUUUGAUUGCCAAGAGGACUAGUGGCAAAAGUCCUUUUCUUCAUCAAACUGCCAGCAUAAAGUUACUUCAGACAGAAAUUCUUCCAUGAAGGAGUCCUUUUAUAUGCAAAAAAGUCUAAGUCAUCUUCUCGAGGUAUAUGACGUUGUAGGACCAUCUCCACUUUAUCUUCAAAGCCGCAAUGAUAGUUUGAGUGCUCAGGGCAUUCCUGUGUGGACACAUCUUUAUUACUUUUUUCACAAUGAUGAUACGAUCUGACAUCUAUCAAGCAGCAUUCUGGAAAUCUCAUAUAUUUGAAUCUCAUUAUACAUAGGAUGUGAUGUAAUCAUAUUUGUCAAAGUUUUGGUCAAUACAUUCUAAAUUCUGUCGUUUCUUAAUAAACUAUGUAUUUUUGCAAGAAA